UUUGUCUGAGCCACAGUUUGCAAAUUCCUCGGCUCCAACCAAACUCGGACAAGCGAGAAAUUAAAUUCUCUGCAGGGCUGGCAAAUCAAAAGUCAGGAAAAAGGAAAAAAAAAUCCUGAUAGAAAAAAACCUCUUGGAAAAUCCAACCUAACUUCUGUCUAGGUUAAAGGGAUGACAGUCCUGCACUUUGGGAUCAUUAAAAUGCAAACUGUUCUCCAAGUGCCAGCUUUCCACGGUGGAGGAGGGAGUACCAGGUACUACUACUACUACUACUACUACUACUACUAGUACCUGCUACUACUACUAGGAAGGAUUCCUGCUCAACACUGGAAAUGCCCAAGGCCAGUCUGGACAGGGCUCGAAGCACCCUGGGAUAGUAGAAGGUGUCCCUGCCAGUAGAACAAGGACUCCUGCCACGUCAGGCUGAGCUGUCCAGGCAGGGCAGGAGGGCAUCCGCAGGCUGAGGGAUCAUUCCCUGAGGGAGAGCCACAGCCGGACGCUGCCUCCCUGCCCUGCUGACCCGGGCAGGCCAGUCCCACUCCGAGGAGCCCAUUUCCCACAGCCGGGAAUGCUUUCCCCACGUUUUGUCCACUGAUAAAACCUGGCUGAACUUCCAA